AUUGAACGCUGGCGGCAGGCUUAACACAUGCAAGUCGAGCGGGGUGAUGGUGCUUGCACUAUCACUUAGCGGCGGACGGGUGAGUAAUGCUUAGGAAUCUGCCUAUUAGUGGGGGACAACAUCUCGAAAGGGAUGCUAAUACCGCAUACGUCCUACGGGAGAAAGCAGGGGAUCACUUGUGACCUUGCGCUAAUAGAUGAGCCUAAGUCGGAUUAGCUAGUUGGUGGGGUAAAGGCCUACCAAGGCGACGAUCUGUAGCGGGUCUGAGAGGAUGAUCCGCCACACUGGGACUGAGACACGGCCCAGACUCCUACGGGAGGCGGCAGUGGGGAAUAUUGGACAAUGGGGGGGACCCUGAUCCAGCCAUGCCGCGUGUGUGAAGAAGGCCUUAUGGUUGUAAAGCACUUUAAGCGAGGAGGAGGCUCUUUUGGUUAAUACCCAAGAUGAGUGGACGUUACUCGCAGAAUAAGCACCGGCUAACUCUGUGCCAGCAGCCGCCGUAA
rnacentral:rRNA from 1 species